ACGAGCUUACUUGAACAGGAUCUGUUCUAUAGGAUCGUACCUCUAUAUCCUUAAUUUCUAAGGAGACAGGCCCUUAACCCUGGUUGAUGAGCCAUGACCAUGUGAUCAGAGCGUGAUUUACGGCCACGAUCAGUCCUUAAUUGGUCUGGUGCUGUAGAGGCUAAUCAGUGCCGGGGUGGUCACAUGGCGGUCUGACAAAAU
rfam:Arabis alpina cultivar Pajares Aa.chr3_contig_1640, whole genome shotgun sequence.